GCUGCCUUGAAGGUAGAAGAAGGAACCACAGGACAAGUAGAGCAGAUGGUCUUCAGAAGUUGGAAGAGGCAAGGACAAAGACUGUCUCCUGUAGCCUUCAGAAGGGAUAUGGCCCUGAUUUUAGCCCAGUAAAGCCACUUCGAAUUUCCAGCAAGAUAAUUGAACUGCAAGAGUCAAGAAAAUUUCUUUUAUGCUGUCUACAGCUUUCAACAAUUGAACAGGGUAUACUCCUGUGA
rnacentral:lncRNA from 1 species